rnacentral:rRNA from 1 species
GAUGAACGCUAGCGAUAGGCUUAACACAUGCAAGUCGAGGGGCAGCAGGGUCUUAGCUUGCUAAGACUGAUGGCGACCGGCGAACGGUUGCUUAACGCGUUUGCAACUUGCCUCCAAAAGGGGGUUAACCCGUCGAAAGACGGACUAAUACCGCGUACACUCUAUUUUGGCCAUCCAAGGUAGAGGAAAUGAAAUUCGCUGUGAGAUAGGCAUGCGUCCCAUUAGCUAGUUGGUGAGGUAACGGCUCACCAAGGCGACGAAGGGUAGGGGAACUGAGAGGUUGAACCCCCACACUGGUACUGAGACACGGACCAGACUCCUACGGGAGGCAGCAGUGAGGAAUAUUGGUCAAUGGGCGAGAGCCUGAACCAGCCAAGUCGCGUGAAGGAUGACUGUCUUAUGGAUUGUAAACUUCUUUUGUAGGGGAAUAAAGAGGGGCACGUGUGCCCCAGUGAAUGUACCCUACGAAUAAGCAUCGGCUAACUCCGUG